rnacentral:rRNA from 1 species
ACUUUAAUUGAAGAGUUUGAUCAUGGCUCAGAUUGAACGCUGGCGGCAGGCCUAACACAUGCAAGUCGAGCGGUAACAUUUCAAAAGCUUGCUUUUGAAGAUGACGAGCGGCGGACGGGUGAGUAAUGCCUGGGAAUUUGCCCAUUUGUGGGGGAUAACAGUUGGAAACGACUGCUAAUACCGCAUACG